UGCGAAGGGGGCUAGCGUUGUUCGGAAUCACUGGGCGUAAAGCGCACGUAGGCGGAUCUUUAAGUCAGGGGUGAAAUCCCGAGGCUCAACCUCGGAACUGCCUUUGAUACUGGGGAUCUCGAGUCCGGGAGAGGUGAGUGGAACUGCGAGUGUAGAGGUGAAAUUCGUAGAUAUUCGCAAGAACACCAGUGGCGAAGGCGGCUCACUGGCCCGAUACUGACGCUGAGGCACGAAAGCGUGGGGAGCAAACAGG
rnacentral:rRNA from 1 species